GGCCAAGUUUUUAAGGGCGCACGGUGGAUGCCUUGGCACCAGGAACCGAUGAAGGACGUGGGAGGCCACGAUAGUCCCCGGGGAGUCGUCAACCAGGCUUUGAUCCGGGGGUUUCCGAAUGGGGAAACCCGGCAGUCGUCAUGGGCUGUCACCCGCUGCUGAACACAUAGGCAGUGUGGAGGGAACGCGGGGAAGUGAAACAUCUCAGUACCCGCAGGAAGAGAAAACAACCGUGAUUCCGGGAGUAGUGGCGAGCGAAACCGGAUGAGGCCAAACCGUAUACGUGUGAGACCCGGCAGGGGUUGCGUGUGCGGGGUUGUGGGAUCUCUCUUCUGUCGUCUGCCGGCGGCAGGACGAGUCAGAAACCGUUGAUGUAGGCGAAGGACAUGCGAAAGGUCCGGCGUAGAGGGUAAGACCCCCGUAGUCGAAACGUCAGCGGCUCGUUUGAGAGACACCCAAGUAGCACGGGGCCCGAGAAAUCCCGUGUGAAUCUGGCGGGACCACCCGCUAAGCCUAAAUAUUCCCUGGUGACCGAUAGCGGAUAGUACCGUGAGGGAAUGGUGAAAAGUACCGCGGGAGCGGAGUGAAAUAGUACCUGAAACCGUGUGCCUACAAGCCGUGGGAGCGUCGGAUGCAGCUUGCUGCAUCUCGUGACUGCGUGCCUUUUGAAGAAUGAGCCUGCGAGUUUGCGGUGUGUUGCGAGGUUAACCCGGGUGGGGAAGCCGUAGCGAAAGCGAGUCCGAACAGGGCGAUUUUAGUAGCACGCUCAAGACCCGAAGCGGAGUGAUCUAGCCAUGGGCAGGUUGAAGCGGAGGUAAGACUUCGUGGAGGACCGAACCCACCAGGGUUGAAAACCUGGGGGAUGACCUGUGGUUAGGGGUGAAAGGCCAAUCAAACUCCGUGAUAGCUGGUUCUCCCCGAAAUGCAUUUAGGUGCAGCGUCGUGUGUUUCUUGCCGGAGGUAGAGCACUGGAUAGGCGAUGGGCCCUACCGGGUUACUGACCUUAGCCAAACUCCGAAUGCCGGUAAGUGAGAGCGCGGCAGUGAGACUGUGGGGGAUAAGCUCCAUGGUCGAGAGGGAAACAGCCCAGAGCAUCGACUAAGGCCCCUAAGCGUACGCUAAGUGGGAAAGGAUGUGGAGUCGCACAGACAACCAGGAGGUUGGCUUAGAAGCAGCCACCCUUGAAAGAGUGCGUAAUAGCUCACUGGUCUAGUGAUUCCGCGCCGACAAUGUAGCGGGGCUCAAGCGUACCGCCGAAGUCGUGUCAUUGCAGCAAUACGGCCAACGCCGGCUGUGAUGGGUAGGGGAGCGUCGUGUGCCGGGUGAAGCAGCGCCGGAAGGCAGUUGUGGACGGUUCACGAGUGAGAAUGCAGGCAUGAGUAGCGAUACAAACGUGAGAAACGUUUGCGCCGAUUGACUAAGGGUUCCUGGGUCAAGCUGAUCUGCCCAGGGUAAGUCGGGACCUAAGGCGAGGCCGACAGGCGUAGUCGAUGGAUAACCGGUUGAUAUUCCGGUACCCGCUGUGAAGCGUCAAACAUCGAGCAUCGUGAUGCUAAGGCCGUGAAGCCGCCCUGAUCUCUUCGGAGUUGAGGGGAGUGGUGGAGCCGCCGAACCAAGCGGUUAGUAGGUGAGUGAUGGGGUGACGCAGGAAGGUAGUCCAUCCCGGGCGGUGGUUGUCCCGGGGUAAGGGUGUAGGACGUCAGGUAGGUAAAUCCGCCUGGCAAUAGUCUGAGACCUGAUGCCGAGCCGAUUGUGGUGAAGUGGAUGAUCCUAUGCUGUCGAGAAAAGCCUCUAGCGAGUUUCAUGGCGGCCCGUACCCUAAACCGACUCAGGUGGUCAGGUAGAGAAUACCGAGGCGUUCGGGUGAACUAUGGUUAAGGAACUCGGCAAAAUGCCCCCGUAACUUCGGGAGAAGGGGGGCCACACCUGGUGACGAGUCUUGCACUCUGAGCUGGGGGUGGCCGCAGAGACCAGCGAGAAGCGACUGUUUACUAAAAACACAGGUCCGUGCGAAGCCGUAAGGCGAUGUAUACGGACUGACGCCUGCCCGGUGCUGGAACGUUAAGGGGACCGGUUAGCUCCAUUUCGGUGGGGCGAAGCUGAGAACUUAAGCGCCAGUAAACGGCGGUGGUAACUAUAACCAUCCUAAGGUAGCGAAAUUCCUUGUCGGGUAAGUUCCGACCUGCACGAAUGGCGUAACGACUUCUCGACUGUCUCAACCAUAGGCCCGGUGAAAUUGCACUACGAGUAAAGAUGCUCGUUUCGCGCAGCAGGACGGAAAGACCCCGGGACCUUUACUACAGUUUGAUAUUGGUGUUCGGUUCGGCUUGUGUAGGAUAGCUGGGAGACUUUGAAGCUCGCACGCCAGUGUGGGUGGAGUCGUCGUUGAAAUACCAGUCUGGUCGUGCUGGAUGUCUAACCUGGGUCCGUGAUCCGGAUCAGGGACAGUGUCUGAUGGGUAGUUUAACUGGGGCGGUUGCCUCCUAAAGAGUAACGGAGGCGCCCAAAGGUUCCCUCAGCCUGGUUGGCAAUCAGGUGUUGAGUGUAAGUGCACAAGGGAGCUUGACUGUGAGACCGACGGGUCGAGCAGGGACGAAAGUCGGGACUAGUGAUCCGGCGGUGGCUUGUGGAAGCGCCGUCGCUCAACGGAUAAAAGGUACCCCGGGGAUAACAGGCUGAUCUUCCCCAAGAGUCCAUAUCGACGGGAUGGUUUGGCACCUCGAUGUCGGCUCGUCGCAUCCUGGGGCUGGAGUCGGUCCCAAGGGUUGGGCUGUUCGCCCAUUAAAGCGGUACGCGAGCUGGGUUUAGAACGUCGUGAGACAGUUCGGUCCCUAUCCGCUGUGCGCGUAGGAGUCUUGAGAAGGGCUGUCCCUAGUACGAGAGGACCGGGACGGACGAACCUCUGGUGUGCCAGUUGUCCUGCCAAGGGCAUGGCUGGUUGGCUACGUUCGGGAGGGAUAACCGCUGAAAGCAUCUAAGCGGGAAGCCUGCUUCGAGAUGAGGACUCCCACCCCCUUGAGGGGUUAAGGCUCCCAGUAGACGACUGGGUUGAUAGGCCGGAUCUGGAAGCACCGUGAGGUGUGGAGGUGACCGGUACUAAUAGGCCGAGGGCUUGUCCUC
rnacentral:rRNA from 1 species